AAUGUCAGUUGAAAAAGUCAUGAAGAUAAAAGAUGUAGAACUCAUGAAGACAUAGAAUUUUUAUUUUAGUCAUUUCUUCAUCCAACAAAGUGACAGUAAUAUUGUUUACAAAAUUUACAUAUCUCUCAUAUUGUUUUAUAAACUAUAAUAGAGAUAUGUAAAUUUUGUUAACAAUGUUACUAUCACUUUGUUGGAUGAAGAAAUGACCAAAAUAAAAGUUAAGAUCUUGAUGAGUUAUACAACUUUGUUGUUAAUGACUUUUUCAGUUGAAAUC
rnacentral:pre_miRNA from 1 species